GAUGAACGCUGGCGGCGCGCCUAAUACAUGCAAGUCGAGCGAACCACUUCGGUGGUGAGCGGCGAACGGGUGAGUAGCACGUAGGUGAUCUGCCCAUCAGACGGGGACAACGAUUGGAAACGAUCGCUAAUACCGGAUAGGACGAAAGUUUAAAGGUGCUUCUGGCACCGCUGAUGGAUGAGCCUGCGGCGCAUUAGCUAGUUGGUAGGGUAAAGGCCUACCAAGGCGACGAUGCGUAGCCGACCUGAGAGGGUGAACGGCCACACUGGGACUGAGACACGGCCCAGACUCCUACGGGAGGCAGCAGUAGGGAAUCUUCGGCAAUGGGCGAAAGCCUGACCGAGCAACGCCGCGUGAAUGAUGAAGGCCUUCGGGUUGUAAAAUUCUGUUAUAAGGGAAGAACGACUUUAGUAGGAAAUGGCUAGAGUGUGACGGUACCUCAUGAGAAAGCCACGGCUAACUACGUGCCAGCCGCCGCGGUAA
rnacentral:rRNA from 1 species